rnacentral:rRNA from 1 species
ACAACUUUCAGCAACGGAUCUCUUGGCUCUCGCAUCGAUGAAGAACGCAGCGAAUCGCGAUAUGUAAUGUGAAUUGCAGAUUUCCAGUGAAUCAUCGAAUCUUUGAACGCACCUUGCGCUCUCCGGUACUCCGGAGAGCAUGCCUGUUUGAGUGUCAUUCGAA